UCGAGCGAACAGACGAGGAGCUUGCUCCUCUGACGUUAGCGGCGGACGGGUGAGUAACACGUGGAUAACCUACCUAUAAGACUGGGAUAACUUCGGGAAACCGGAGCUAAUACCGGAUAAUAUAUUGAACCGCAUGGUUCAAUAGUGAAAGACGGUUUUGCUGUCACUUAUAGAUGGAUCCGCGCCGCAUUAGCUAGUUGGUAAGGUAACGGCUUACCAAGGCAACGAUGCGUAGCCGACCUGAGAGGGUGAUCGGCCACACUGGAACUGAGACACGGUCCAGACUCCUACGGGAGGCAGCAGUAGGGAAUCUUCCGCAAUGGGCGAAAGCCUGACGGAGCAACGCCGCGUGAGUGAUGAAGGUCUUCGGAUCGUAAAACUCUGUUAUUAGGGAAGAACAAAUGUGUAAGUAACUAUGCACGUCUUGACGGUACCUAAUCAGAAAGCCACGGCUAACUACGUGCCAGCAGCCGCGGUAAUACGUAGGUGGCAAGCGUUAUCCGGAAUUAUUGGGCGUAAAGCGCGCGUAGGCGGUUUUUUAAGUCUGAUGUGAAAGCCCACGGCUCAGCCGUGGAGGGUCAUUGGAAACUGGAAAACUUGAGUGCAGAAGAGGAAAGUGGAAUUCCAUGUGUAGCGGUGAAAUGCGCAGAGAUAUGGAGGAACACCAGUGGCGAAGGCGACUUUCU
rnacentral:rRNA from 1 species